rnacentral:rRNA from 1 species
AGUGAACGCUGGCGGUAGGCCUAACACAUGCAAGUCGAACGGCAGCACAGUAAGAGCUUGCUCUUACGGGUGGCGAGUGGCGGACGGGUGAGGAAUACAUCGGAAUCUACUUUUUCGUGGGGGAUAACGUAGGGAAACUUACGCUAAUACCGCAUACGACCUACGGGUGAAAGCAGGGGAUCUUCGGACCUUGCGCGAUUGAAUGAGCCGAUGUCGGAUUAGCUAGUUGGCGGGGUAAAGGCCCACCAAGGCGACGAUCCGUAGCUGGUCUGAGAGGAUGAAGAGCCACACUGGAACUGAGACACGGUCCAGACUCCUACGGGAGGCAGCAGUGGGGAAUAUUGGAAAAUGGGCGCAAGCCUGAUCCAGCCAUACCGCGUGGGUGAAGAAGGCCUUCGGGUUGUAAAGCCCUUUUGUUGGGAAAGAAAAGCAGCAGGUUAAUACCCCGCUGUUCUGACGGUACCCAAAGAAUAAGCACCGGCUAACUUCGUG